rnacentral:rRNA from 1 species
UACGGAAGGCAGCAGUGGGGAAUAUUGCACAAUGGGCGCAAGCCUGAUGCAGCCAUGCCGCGUGUAUGAAGAAGGCCUUCGGGUUGUAAAGUACUUUCAGUCGUGAGGAAGGUGUUAAGGUUAAUAACCUUAGCAAUUGACGUUAGCGACAGAAGAAGCACCGGCUAACUCCGUGCCAGCAGCCGCGGUAAUACGGAGGGUGCGAGCGUUAAUCGGAAUUACUGGGCGUAAAGGGCACGCAGGCGGUUAAUUAAGUUGGAUGUGAAAUCCCCGGGCUUAACCUGGGAAUGGCAUUCAAGACUGGUUAGCUAGAGUCUUGUAGAGGGGGUAGAAUUCCAUGUGUAGCGGUGAAAUGCGUAGAGAUGUGGAGGAAUACCGGUGGCGAAGCGGCCCCUGGACAAGACUGACGCUCAUGUGCGAAAGCGUGGGGAGCAAAC